rnacentral:rRNA from 1 species
GAUGAACGCUGGCGGCGUGCCUAAUACAUGCAAGUCGAGCGAACAGACGAGGCGCUUGUUCCUCUGACGUUAGCGGCGGACGGGUGAGUAACACGUGGAUAACCUACCUUUAAGACUGGGAUAACUUCGGGAAACCGGUGCUAAUACCGCAUAAUAUCUUUAACCGCAUGGUUCAAGAUUGAAAGAUGGUUUUGCUUUCACCUAUAGAGGUAUCCGGUCGGCUUUGGCUAGUGGGGAAGGUAACGCCUUACCAAGGCAACGAACAGUACCCGACCGGGGAGGGUGAUCGCCAACAUUGGAACUGAGACACGCUCAAGCCCCCUCCGGGAGGAGGCGGAAGGGAAUCUUCGGAAAGGAGCGAAAGCCUGCCGGAGCACGGCGGCGGGGGGGAGGAAGGUCUCGGGAUCGUAAACCUCUGUUAUUAGGGAAGAACAAAUGGGUAAGUAAAUACGCACGUAGUGACGGUACCUAACCAGAAAGCCACGGCUAACUACGUG